GCCGAGUGGCCGGAGCGCGGGGCGGGGCCGAGGCGGCGAGUGUCUGGGCGAGCGUGGCUGGGCCCGGUCCUGGGCUGGGGGCAGGGGCUAGGGCCGGGUCCCGGGAUCCUUCCCGCCAGAAGAAACUUAUGUUGGGAGAUCAACACCAGCUAGUGGGCGUCUCUAUAAAGCCUCAACGUAUAGAACAGAUUUCACAUGCCCAGAGGCUGUUGAGCAGGCUUCAUGUGCGCUGCAGUCAGAGGCCACCUCUUUCUUUGUGGGCCGGAUGGGUCCUUGAGUAAUUGCUGGAAUCCACAAAUACCAAACUAUGGCCAUUGAAGCUGACCUUGGAGGGGGCAGCUUGGUUUAUCUUGCUUAUUUUCAUCCUGGAGAUCCUUCUUAAGUGGCUAUCCAACUUUUCUGUUUUCUGGAAGAGUGCCUGGAAUGUCUUUGACUUUGUUGUUACCAUGUUGGUAAGGAUAGAGAUCCUGAGGGUUCGUUUAGUGGGAUGAAGAAUGUGCCUAGGUGAAUCGAAAGAACAAGUUAACAUGAUAAUAGGAAGAAACAAAAAUUUACUUAA
ensembl:lncRNA CATSPER2P1 CATSPER2 pseudogene 1